AGUCUUAUAUUCAUAGAAAUGAUACUAGAAUGCAAUUCUAGAGGUGUAAAUCUUAAAUACUAAGACUU
rnacentral:tRNA from 2 species